rnacentral:rRNA from 1 species
AUUGAACGCUGGCGGCAGGCCUAACACAUGCAAGUCGAGCGGAUGAAGGGAGCUUGCUCCUGGAUUCAGCGGCGGACGGGUGAGUAAUGCCUAGGAAUCUGCCUGGUAGUGGGGGAUAACGUCCGGAAACGGGCGCUAAUACCGCAUACGUCCUGAGGGAGAAAGUGGGGGAUCUUCGGACCUCACGCUAUCAGAUGAGCCUAGGUCGGAUUAGCUAGUCGGUGGGGUAAAGGCCUACCAAGGCGACGAUCCGUAACUGGUCUGAGAGGAUGAUCAGUCACACUGGAACUGAGACACGGUCCAGACUCCUACGGGAGGCAGCAGUGGGGAAUAUUGGACAGUGGGCGAAAGCCUGAUCCAGCCAUGCCGCGUGUGUGAAGAAGGUCUUCGGAUUGUAAAGCACUUUAAGUUGGGAGGAAGGGCAGUAAGUUAAUACCUUGCUGUUUUGACGUUACCAACAGAAUAAGCACCGGCUAACUUCGU